rnacentral:rRNA from 1 species
UACGGGGGGUGCGAGCGUUGCCCGGAUUUAUUGGGCGUAAAGGGCGCGUAGGCGGCCACGCACGUCCGUUGUGAAAUCGCCCGGCUCAACUGGGCGGGGUCAGCGGAUACGGUGUGGCUCGAGCAAGCUAGGGGGCAAUGGAAUUCCCGGUGUAGUGGUGGAAUGCGUAGAUAUCGGGAGGAACACCAGUGGCGAAGGCGGUUGCCUGGAGCUUUGCUGACGCUGAGGCGCGAAAGCGUGGGGAGCGAUCCGG